rnacentral:rRNA from 1 species
UACGAACGGUCCAAACGUUAUUCGGAAUCACUGGGCUUAAAGCGUCCGUAGGCGGCUCGGAAAGUAGGGUGUGAAAUCCCACGGCUCAACCGUGGAAUUGCGCUCUAAACUAUCGAGCUAGAGGGAGAUAGAGGUGAGCGGAACUGAUGGUGGAGCGGUGAAAUGCGUUGAUAUCAUCAGGAACACCGGAGGCGAAGGCGGCUCACUGGGCAUGACCUGACGCUGAGGAGCGAAAGUGUGGGGGAGCGAACAGG